rnacentral:rRNA from 1 species
AAUGAGGAUUAAUUAAAUGGCCGCAGUAUAUUGACUGUGCAAAGGUAGCAUAAUAAUUUGUCUUUUAAUUGGAGGCUGGAAUGAAGGAUGGGAUGUGAUGGAUGCUGUCUUUAUGAUAUAUUGUUGAAAUUUACCUUUUGAUGAGAAGGUUAAGAUGAGAUUGGUAGACGAGAAGACCCUAUCAAUCUUUAUUUAAGUUAGUUGUUUUGUCUUGUUUAUUGGGUUGACGGAUUUUUAUUUAGAUUUUGUUGGGGCAAUGUUUGAAUAUUUUGUAAUUUUUUAUUGUUGGGUUAAGGUGUGAUCCGGUAUUAUUGAGUGUAAGAAUAAGUUACUGUAGGGAUAACAGCGUAAUUGACUUGGAGAGUUCAUAUUGGUAAGUCAGAUUGCGACCUCGAUGUUGGUUUAAUGGUUCUUUAGGGUGUAGUAGCUUUAGUAG